UCGGCCAUAUUUAGGGAGUCGGACACUUAUAUGCACUCAACAACAUACAUAAUCUUUUGGGGUUCUAGCCAUCCUUAUUUAUUUAGAGCUGAUGGCUUGGGCCCAAAUGGUAAUUUGGGGCCGAUGAGCAUAACUUGGGGCUCCUUAUAGAUUAUGGGCCACUCAAACAUAACUAGGGCCUAAAUGGUAAUUUGGGACCGCUCAAGCAUAACUUGGGCCCCUUGCUGAUAUAAUUGUUGAAUCCUGGACCUGACCCAACCAAAUUUGGACCAAGCACAAACAUUACCCCCUUCC
rnacentral:lncRNA from 1 species